UCUAUUUAUAAUAAAAUUGUUGGGG
rnacentral:piRNA from 1 species